rnacentral:rRNA from 1 species
CCUACGGGCGGCUGCAGUGAGGAAUAUUGGUCAAUGGACGCAAGUCUGAACCAGCCAUGCCGCGUGAAGGAUGAAGGCGUUCUGCGUUGUAAACUUCUUUUAUCUGGGAAGAAACCUACUUUUUCUAAAGUAGCCGACGGUACCAGAGGAAUAAGCACCGGCUAACUCCGUGCCAGCAGCCGCGGUAAUACGGAGGGUGCAAGCGUUAUCCGGAUUCACUGGGUUUAAAGGGUGUGUAGGCGGGUAUUUAAGUCAGUGGUGAAAUCUCCGAGCUC